rnacentral:rRNA from 1 species
UGGGGAAUAUUGCACAAUGGGGGAAACCCUGAUGCAGCGACGCCGCGUGAGCGAUGAAGGCUUUCGAGUCGUAAAGCUCUGUCCUAUGGGAAGAUAAUGACGGUACCAUAGAAGAAAGCCCCGGCUAAUUACGUGCCAGCAGCCGCGGUAAUACGUAAGGGGCGAGCGUUGUCCGGAAUUAUUGGGCGUAAAGAGUGCGUAGGCGGCAAAUUAAGUCAGAUGUGAAAACUAAGGGCUCAACCCAUAGAUUGCAUCUGAAACUGAUAUGCUUGAGUCAAGGAGAGGAAAGUGGAAUUCCUAGUGUAGCGGUGGAAUGCGUAGAUAUUAGGAGGAAUACCGAUGGCGAAGGCGGCUUUCUGGACUAGAACUGACGCUGAGGAACGAAAGCGUGGGGAGCAAACAGG